rnacentral:tRNA from 1 species
GCCGGAGUGGUGAAAUUGGUAGACGCACGGGACUCAAAAUCCCGCGGGCCUUGCGCCCAUGAGAGUUCGAUUCUCUCCUCCGGCACCA